UACAUAGAAGAAAGGAUCAACAAAGCAAAACUCCACCAAUGUGUCUUCAAAGAGGAUUAUUCAUGAAUACCUUGCAUCUGCUUCAACUUCUGAUUAAUUCAUUCAUAAACAUUCUCAAAGCACCGUUUUGAUUAAGCAGCACACACACAAAACUGUGAAUAAUUGCUACUGCACUUCAAAAUAGCCAGUGUUGAAAUUCCAAGUAUAGUGAGUUAAGAAAGAAGCAGUGUUGGGAUGCAGAAGUGGAGGGUUGAUAAGGCAUUGAAAAGUGAUGAAGAGUAAAAAUUCCCUUUUUAGUUCAACACGGAAAAGUCAUACAGCUACACAACAUACCCAAUGGCUAACAACUGGACCAAUAUCCACGCAUUUAUCAGUUUCUACGAAUCACAGCUUUUACGAACGUGAAGGGAUGCUAUACCCAACCAUAUAUAUACCUCUUCCUUUUACGAUCCUAGAUCUCUAAUAAGUUUGGUAAAUUAUCACAAUUUUUUAUCAAAUUAAAA
rnacentral:lncRNA from 1 species